rnacentral:rRNA from 1 species
UACGAGGGGGGCAAGCGUUGUUCGGAAUUAUUGGGCGUAAAGGGCGCGUAGGCGGCUUUUUAAGUCGGGGGUGAAAGCCUGUGGCUCAACCCCAGAAUGGCCUUCGAUACUGGGACGCUUGAGUAUGGUAGAGGUUGGUGGAACUGCGAGUGUAGAGGUGAAAUUCGUAGAUAUUCGCAAGAACACCGGUGGCGAAGGCGGCCAACUGGACCAUUACUGACGCUGAGGCGCGAAAGCGUGGGGAGCAAACAGG